GUGAAAGUGUGGUGUGAGCUUCAUUUUCUUUCAAAAGUGCCUAACUGCAAUCAAGAGUAAUUUACAUAAAAGACAGCAGUUAUUUUUGUAAAAUUACUUCCUAAGAAGAGACUCUGUAGAAGAAACCACCAAGUUCAUAGUCCCUUAUCUGGAGUAAGAUUUUCCAGUGGAUUCUCAAGGACAUAAGGUUUUCCUUGUAUGCAGAAGUUAUGGUGAGAAAUCAAGUAUGCAGAAGCAUCUAUCAUCACCUGCUCGGUAGAUCUGAAGAUGACAGGUAACUUGUCAACAUACACUUUCCUUUCCUUCCGCUGUAGCAGCCUGGCAGCUUCUGUACACACUUUAUUGUGCAGGUGCUUUCUUUUGGCAGACAUGUUCAGAUAAUAGAGCAAUCCAAUCAAAACAUCAGUGAGACUCCCUGACAGAACAUU
rnacentral:lncRNA from 1 species